rnacentral:rRNA from 1 species
GACGAACGCUGGCGGCGUGCUUAACACAUGCAAGUCGAACGGAAAGGCCCUGCUUUUGUGGGGUGCUCGAGUGGCGAACGGGUGAGUAACACGUGAGUAACCUGCCCUUGACUUUGGGAUAACUUCAGGAAACUGGGGCUAAUACCGGAUAGGAGCUCCUGCUGCAUGGUGGGGGUUGGAAAGUUUCGGCGGUUGGGGAUGGACUCGCGGCUUAUCAGCUUGUUGGUGGGGUAGUGGCUUACCAAGGCUUGGACGGGUAGCCGGCCUGAGAGGGUGACCGGCCACAUUGGGACUGAGAUACGGCCCAGACUCCUACGGGAGGCAGCAGUGGGGAAUAUUGCACAAUGGGCGGAAGCCUGAUGCAGCAACGCCGCGUGCGGGAGGACGGCCUUCGGGUUGUAAACCGCUUUCGCCUGUGACGAAGCGUGAGUGACGGUAAUGGGUAAAGAAGCACCGGCUAACUACGU